CUUCACCCCGCCCCUCCCUUGCUUAGUCGCUCGGCUGGCCCGGCUCACCUUCGGGGUGAAGGCUACCAGCGAGCGUUAUAGCAGACGACUUUAAUAAAUGCAGGCGGCAGCAGGAACUCUGGGAACUUGGGUGCCCUUGCCUGGCAGUAAGGGUUGAAUUAUCCGGAUCUGAAAUACUUUACAGAGCCGAGGGGUGAUAGGCUCUGCAAAAGCACUUUUUGCCCCUCUCCUUUAUGCCAAUACUCGCUGACUGUGCACACAAGUCAUAUUCAGUAUUAAAUACAAACCGGUCUGUAAUUCAAUGGCUCUAGCAAGACGCCUCUGAGAGGGCCAGGUGGCGGGUGCAAGUUGCUCAUUAACCCUUUAGAGUCGCAGUUUGCAGAUCUGAGUUAGAUCCCCGGCUUUGAGGUCCUUCAGUUGCCCUCCUCCCCCACCUCCCCCCGCCACUGCGAGAAAAAUGUGCAAAGAGAAGGAAAUUUGCACAUCAAACGAGGGGCAAUCGCGGCGGUAGAUGAACUUGAUUAGGCAGACGCGUGAGAUCAAAGUGGCCGGGACCAAAGCGGACAGGGUCCAACGUGCCAGCACUGCCAAGAGAAGGCCUUUUGUACUCAGGUUAAAUAAGAACAUCCUGCAAGGAGUCUGUUCUUUUAUGCAGCCUAAAGAUCAAGUAAUAAUCAUUGACACUGAUACUGAGCAUGUCGAUUUUGAAGAGACUAGCAUGAACCUUGAAGAAUCAUGUUCUUCCUAGGAAUUACAAAUCCCCCGAUUCCAUGUCUAACAUAAUUUCUACUGGCCUCUUUGCUUCUCAUGCUUUAGUACCAGUGCUUCUGAAUUUGAAAGUCUUCAUGCAAAUUGCCCAGGUUUGCUGGCAGCUGUGUCUCAGAAAAAGCUGUCUUCAGCAAGGCAGAAGCAGACAAGAUCCAGCUCUAUUGCCCAAGCUGGAGUGCAGUGGUGAGAUAAUGAUUCACUGCAGCCUUGAUCUCCUGGGCUCAAGCAGUUCUCCUGCCUCAGCCUCCUGAGUAGCUGGGACCACAGGCACCCUCCACCAUGUCUGGCCAAAAUUUUUUGAAUUUUUUGUAGAGACCAGGUUUCACCAUGUUGCCCAGGCUGAUUUCAAAUUCCUGGGCUCAAGUGAUCUUCCUGCCUCAGCCUCUCAAAGUGCUGAGAUUACAAGUGUGAGCCACCACACCCAGCCAAAAUAUAAAUACGCCUUUAAUAGUAACACCUAAUUACCUAACACCAUCAAAAAUGGGGUGCUCCAUGAAGAAGCACAUAAUUCAAAUUAUUGAAGUUUAUCCCUUCUAAUGACCACAUAGAUUUCUCUUGCCCCAUUAAAAAAUUAGAUAAUCAGUAUUUCUAGGAUAGUUGUUUUCUUCCAACCAAUUAAGGCAUAAUCUAUGUAGCAGAACAUUCAGAGGAUGAUGCCUGGUCAACAUUUGAAUAAACAAUCACUGUGAUGUUACCUCUAUUUAAGAUGACUCCAAUAAAACUUCUAUGGUUUGCAUUAUUAGUUGAUCAGACUUUAAGCAUUAUCUUUUGAUAGGGUCAAGGAACCUGUCUUAACUCCCCAUCUCUGACCAAAAUAUACUUGUUUUCUAUAAGCUAUAAAGCCAGAUAGCCAAUUUUAUGAGAAUUGUCCCUAUACUAUAUCCAUGUGAGCGAUGAGUGCCUGGCAUGAAGAUGCAUAAAGGAGGCAGUAAUAUACAACAACUGAAGCAUAACCUCUGGAGCCAGUCUUCUUCAGACAAAUCCCAAUUCCAUUACUCACUGGCCACCUAAACAAGCUACUUAAUUCAUCUGCCUCAGUUUUCUUCAACUGUUUAAUGGGUAUGAUCAACAAACCAACUUCAGUGGGUUAUCAUAAAUAUUAAUAAAUGAGAGAAUGCAUGUGAAACAAAGCUAUAAGCAAUCAUUAGUAAUAAUAAUAAAAGAUGAUCAUUAUUUUUCAUGGAGUUUUUGCUAGUGCCAUGUACUGUUUUGUUAAUACUAAUUGCCUGAUUUUCUGUCCAUGAAUUUUUGGCUGAUCUAAGUUUCCACUUCCCUCACCCCUUGGCUGGGAUCUAGGUAUGAGAGUUGCUUGGCAAGCAAACUAGAGAUAAGUAAGGUGUUACUAUAUAAAGUUAAUGUAGGCACAUAUGAAUAUCCAAACAUGCCAUAAUGUUGGGGUUUGACCCUUUCCCUAAUACUCAGUUUCUUCAUUUGAAAUGUUCUAAUUGGUGUUUUUAUGUUGG
rnacentral:lncRNA from 1 species